rnacentral:rRNA from 1 species
CCUACGGGUGGCAGCAGUAGGGAAUAUUCCACAAUGGGCGAAAGCCUGAUGGAGCGACGCAGCGUGCAUGAUGAAGGUCUUCGGAUCGUAAAACCCUGUUGUUAGGGAAGAAAAUUCGCGAUAGUAACUGAUCGCGUAUCGACGGUAUCUUGCCAGAACGCCAUGGCUAACUACGUGCCAGCAGCCGCGGUAAUACGUAGGUGGCAAGCGUUAUCCGGAUUUAUUGGGCGUAAAGGGAUCGCAGGCGGUUUUUUAAGUCUGGUGUGAAAUCCUUCGGCUUAACCGGUGUAUUGCAUUGGAGACUGGGAGACUUGAGUGAAGAAGAGGAGAGCGGAAUUCCAUGUGUAGCGGUGAAAUGCGUAGAUAUAUGGAAGAACACCAGUGGCGAAGGCAGCUCACUGGGCUGCAACUGACGCUGAGGUUCGAAAGCGUGGGUAGCAAACAGGAUUAGAUACCCGUGUAGUC